GUUGAACGCUAGCGGGAUGCUUUACACAUGCAAGUCGCACGAGUGGCGGACGGGUGAGUAAUAUAUCGGAACGUGCCCAGUCGCGGGGGAUAACUACUCGAAAGAGUGGCUAAUCCCGAAUACUCUUGGAGCGGCCGAUAUCUGAUUAGCUAGUUGGUGGGGUAAAGGCUCACCAAGGCAACGAACCGUAGCUGGUUUUAGCGGACGACCAGCCACAAUGGUACUGAGACACGGCCCAGACUCCUACGGGAGGAAGCAGUGGGGAAUUUUGGACAAUGGGGGAAACCCUGAUCCAGCCAUCCCGCGUGUAUGAGAAGGCCUGCGGGUUGUAAAGUACUUUUGGCAGAGAAGCGGUAUCUGCAGAAUAAGCACCGGCUAACUACGUGCCAGCCGCCGCGGUAAUAC
rnacentral:rRNA from 1 species